rnacentral:lncRNA from 1 species
AUUCAGAAGCCAAAUCAUCCCAGCUGUUCCAUUUAUCGAUAUCUCGAUCGAUAAACCAUUCUGAGGCCAGAUUAGAAAGACUUUCGCCAAAGAAGGCCAUGAGCAGUUCUUCCUUUCCUCCUGCAGCCCUCAACUGGUUGCAGUAACGUCUCAAGUGUGCAACGGGAUCACCGUGUCCUGCAUACUUCUCGAACUUAGGCAUCUUAAAACCGNN